AAUAGAUACCCCGGGUAGUCCAUGCCGUAAACGUUGGGCACUAGGUGUGGGGCUCAUUCCACGAGUUCCGUGCCGCAGCAAACGCAUUAAGUGCCCCGGCCUGGGGAGUACGGCCGCAAGGCUAAAACUCAAAGGAAUUGACGGGGGGCCCGCACAAGCGGCGGAGCAUGCGGAUUAAUUCGAUGCAACGCGAAGAACCUUACCAAGGCUUGACAUGCACGGGAAGCCACCAGAGAUGGUGGUCUCUUUGGACACUCGUGCACAGGUGGUGCAUGGUUGUCGUCAGCUCGUGUCGUGAGAUGUUGGGUUAAGUCCCGCAACGAGCGCAACCCUGUCCCAUGUUGCCAGCGGGUUAUGCCGGGGACUCAUGGGAGACUGCCGGGGUCAACUCGGAGGAAGGUGGGGAUGACGUCAAAUCAUCAUGCCCCUUAGUGUCUUGGGCUUCACGCAUGCUACAAUGGCCGGUAACAACGGGCUGCGAUACCGUAAGGUGGAGCGAAUCCCAAAACGCCGGUCUCAGUUCGGAUUGGGGU
rnacentral:rRNA from 1 species